rfam:Clostridium sp. SY8519 DNA, complete genome.
AGAGUGGAACAGGUGAUCGCGGCUGCAGGCGCCGAAAGGACGCAGCUGAGGAAAGUCCGGGCUUCACAGGGCAGGAUGCCGGAUAACGUCCGGUGGAGGCGACUCCAAGGAUAGUGCAACAGAAAUAUACCGCAGGAUUUUCGAAUCCUGUAAGGGUGGAAGGGCAGUGCAAGAGACUACCGCCCGGCUGGUGACAGCCGGGGCAUAUGUAAACCCCAUCCGAAGCAAGACCGAACAGGAAGCGUACGCGGCCCGCCAGCUUCAGGUAGGUCGCUAAAGGCAGCUGGCGACAGCUGUAUCAGACAGAUGAUCACCCAACGACAUAACCCGGCUUAUCGUUCCGCUCUUUUU